UUGAAACAUCGGUUCCCGUACGAUCAUUGAAGUUAAGCUACCUCGAACCUGGUCAGUACCAUGAUGAGUGACAGCUUGGGAAUACCAGGUGCUGUAA